AUUAACGGCGAGUGAAGUGGGAAUAGCCCAGCACCGAAUCCCUCAGCCUUGCGCUGCCGGGACCUGUGGUGUUUGGGACGACCGCUGUCGUGUUGUUCGGGUGCCCAAGUCCUCCCGAUCGGGGCCUCUCCCACAGUGGGUGUUAGGCCUUUACCGGCACUCGUCGACACGGCUAUGGUCGUCCUCGGAGUCGGGUUGUUUGGGAAUGCAGCCCAAAGCUGGUGGUAAACUCCAUCUAAGGCUAAAUACUGACACGAGUCCGAUAGC
rnacentral:rRNA from 1 species